CUCUCUCUCUCUCUCUCUCUCUCUCUCUGUCUCUCAUGUUCUGUCUUUUCUGUCUCUCUGUCCCUAUAGCCCCAGAAGCCCAGGCCACGUCCAGGACAGCACAUCCUAAAGAUGUUGGUGAGAGCCAGGUGGAGUGUGGUGGAGAUGGCAUCGUCUGUUGAGCUGUUGGGGCGAUAUGCUCAUUGCAGUGAAAGAGGAAGUCCAGUGAGGGAGGAAGCUGGUCUUUAAUGUGCCUCAUGACAAGCCUCUCAAAGCACUUCAUGAUGAUGGGAAUGAGUGCCACGGGACGGUAUUCAUUGAGGCAGGACACUGGAGACUUCUUCGGCACAGCGAUGAUGAUGGUAGACUUGAAGCACGUUGGAAUGACUGCAGUGCUCAGAGAGAUGUUGAAGAUGUCUGUGAGAACAUCAGCCAGCUGGCCGGCGCAUUCUCUGAGCACUCUGCCUGGUACGCUGUUGGAUCCUGGUGCUUUUCAUGGGUUGACUCUGUGUAGAGUUCUCCGCACAUCAGCAGUGGACAGACACAGUGCCUGUUCACUUGGAGGAGGUGUGGUUUUCCUCACCGUCGUGCCAUUCUGUGAUCAAACCAAGCAUAGAAGUUAUUAAGGGCGUCUGGAAGGGAGGCAUCACUGUCACAAGCAGGUGAAGGUGACUUGUAAUUGGUGAUGGCCUGGAUGCCCUGCCACAUGUGUCAGCGGUGUUUUGAAAAUGUUCAUGGAUUUUCUUUGACACUUAGCCUCUCUGAUGACCCGGGAAAGCUUGGCUCUUGUUAUCCUGAGACUUGCCUUGUCCCCUGACUUGAACAUCAGUUUGUGACCUAAUGCUCAAGUGCAGUUGAGUUAUGCAGUAGGACAAUGAUAUGAAGCACACAGGCAAGUCCACCUCUGAAUGACUUGUAAGAAACAUAGUAAUUAAAGUUUUGGAGUGUCUGAUUCUAAGUGCUGACUUGAGAUGCUGAGGCAACACCUAAACCGGGCAGUUCAUGCUCGAAAUGAAGCGGAAUUAAAACAAUUCUGCAAAGAACAGUGGGCCAAACCUCCUCCACAGCCAUGUUAAAGGCUCAUUUCAAGUUAUUGUGAACAUCUGGCUGCUGUUGUCACUGUUGCUACUGAGUAAUUGAAUGCUAAAAGUGAAAAGAUAAAGUUAAUAAUAGUUAAUAAAGAUAAAAAAUAUCUAGGAAAACAGAAAACUAGUCAGGGCACUAAAACCCUAUUCAAGCUGGAUUCUGGUUAUGUAAUUUGUGCAUGAUUUGAUUGGCCAGUUCAUACAGAAUAAAGUAAUCUGUGUCACUCAUUCGGCUCCCUCUAUGGAGGACAUGGACUUCAUCUCCCAGAAUUCUCUGGGAGAUCAUGUGACUGAACAUCCGCACUUGGACUCCAACCUUGGAGAAAACUCCAUUACCCAGGAUUCUACAGAAUGUCAUGUGCUCAUGUGCUCCUAUCAGUGCUGUCAGUCCCCUGAGUAUUGACUGUGUUCACCUGUGUGUGUUUAGUCAUAUGACAGGUAGUGUAGAGUAAAUAAGCUCAUUGCGACGUAUUGUUUCUCUGAGACUGCUGAGCGUUUUCUGCCUGUUCUGGUUGCUGACCGUGUUAUUUGACCUCUUUGCUUUGUUUAUUCCAUUUUCGACUUUUGUCUCUUCCCUUGGUCCUUUUGCUUGUUUUGCUGUUAUUAAACCGCCUUCGUUUAUCA